rnacentral:snRNA from 1 species
GUGCUCACUUCAGCAACACAUAUACUAAAAUUGGAAUGAUACAAAGAAGAUUAGCAUGGCCCCUGCACAAGGAUGACAUGCAAAUUUGUGAAGUGUUCCGUAUUUUU